UACAGAGGUCUCAAGCGUUGUUCGGAUUCAUUGGGCGUAAAGGGUGCGUAGGUGGCGCGGUAAGUCGGGUGUGAAAUCUCGGAGCUUAACUCCGAAAUUGCAUUCGAUACUGCCGUGCUUGAGGACUGGAGAGGAGACUGGAAUUUACGGUGUAGCAGUGAAAUGCGUAGAGAUCGUAAGGAAGACCAGUGGCGAAGGCGGGUCUCUGGACAGUUCCUGACACUGAGGCACGAAGGCCAGGGGAGCGAACGGG
rnacentral:rRNA from 1 species